rnacentral:rRNA from 1 species
AACCGUGCAAAGGUAGCGUAAUCACUUGUCCUCUAAAUAGGGACCCGUAUGAAAGGCUAAAUGAGGACCAAACUGUCUCUUGCGACCAAUCAAUGAAACUGAUCUCUCAGUUCAAAAGCUGAGAUACACACAUAAGACGAGAAGACCCUGCGGAGCUUCAGGCUAAUACAUUGCCACACCAAGCCCAAAUCCAAACAAGGAACAAAACCCACACAGCAAAAAGAGCCUUAAGUUGGGGCGACUGCGGAGAAAAACAAAACCUCCAUGUACACCGAUUAACCAUCGCCACAAAACAUACAUGUAAUCUGGUUAAAACCGUGACCCAGCACUGCUGAUCACCGAACCAAGUUACCCCAGGGAUAACAGCGCCAUCCCCUUCUAGAGUCCAUAUCGCCAAGGGGGUUUACGACCUCGAUGUUGGAUCAGGACACCCAGAUGGUGUAGCCGCUAUCAAUGGUUCGUUUGUUCAACGAUUAAUGUCCUACGUGAU